rnacentral:rRNA from 1 species
GGUUAAGCGACUAAGCGUACACGGUGGAUGCCCUGGCAGUCAGAGGCGAUGAAGGACGUGCUAAUCUGCGAAAAGCGUCGGUAAGGUGAUAUGAACCGUUACAGCCGGCGAUGUCCGAAUGGGGAAACCCAGUGUGAUUCGUCACACUAUCGUUAACUGAAUACAUAGGUUAACGAGGCGAACCGGGGGAACUGAAACAUCUAAGUACCCCGAGGAAAAGAAAUCAACCGAGAUUCCCCCAGUAGCGGCGAGCGAACGGGGAGCAGCCCAGAGUCUGAAUCAGCUUGUGUGUUAGUGGAACGGUCUGGAAAGUCCGACGGUACAGGGUGAUAGUCCCGUACACCAAAAUGCACAGGCUGUGAACUCGAAGAGUAGGGCGGGACACGUGGUAUCCUGUCUGAAUAUGGGGGGACCAUCCUCCAAGGCUAAAUACUCCUGACUGACCGAUAGUGAACCAGUACCGUGAGGGAAAGGCGAAAAGAACCCCGGCGAGGGGAGUGAAAAAGAACCUGAAACCGUGUACGUACAAGCAGUGGGAGCACCUUCGGGUGUGACUGCGUACCUUUUGUAUAAUGGGUCAGCGACUUAUAUUCUGUAGCAAGGUUAACCGUAUAGGGGAGCCGCAGGGAAACCGAGUCUUAACUGGGCGUUAAGUUGCAGGGUAUAGACCCGAAACCCGGUGAUCUAGCCAUGGGCAGGUUGAAGGUUGGGUAACACUAACUGGAGGACCGAACCGACUAAUGUUGAAAAAUUAGCGGAUGACUUGUGGCUGGGGGUGAAAGGCCAAUCAAACCGGGAGAUAGCUGGUUCUCCCCGAAAGCUAUUUAGGUAGCGCCUCGUGAAUUCAUCUUCGGGGGUAGAGCACUGUUUCGGCUAGGGGUCAUCCCGACUUACCAACCCGAUGCAAACUACGAAUACCGAAGAAUGUUAUCACGGGAGACACACGGCGGGUGCUAACGUCCGUCGUGAAGAGGGAAACAACCCAGACCGCCAGCUAAGGUCCCAAAGUCAUGGUUAAGUGGGAAACGAUGUGGGAAGGCACAGACAGCCAGGAUGUUGGCUUAGAAGCAGCCAUCAUUUAAAGAAAGCGUAAUAGCUCACUGGUCGAGUCGGCCUGCGCGGAAGAUGUAACGGGGCUAAACCAUGCACCGAAGCUGCGGCAGCGACACUAUGUGUUGUUGGGUAGGGGAGCGUUCUGUAAGCCUGCGAAGGUGACCUGUGAGGGUUGCUGGAGGUAUCAGAAGUGCGAAUGCUGACAUAAGUAACGAUAAAGCGGGUGAAAAGCCCGCUCGCCGGAAGACCAAGGGUUCCUGUCCAACGUUAAUCGGGGCAGGGUGAGUCGACCCCUAAGGCGAGGCCGAAAGGCGUAGUCGAUGGGAAACAGGUUAAUAUUCCUGUACUUGGUGUUACUGCGAAGGGGGGACGGAGAAGGCUAUGUUAGCCGGGCGACGGUUGUCCCGGUUUAAGCAUGUAGGCUGGUUAUCCAGGCAAAUCCGGAUAAUCAAGGCUGAGGUGUGAUGACGAGGCACUACGGUGCUGAAGUAACAAAUGCCCUGCUUCCAGGAAAAGCCUCUAAGCAUCAGGUAACAUUAAAUCGUACCCCAAACCGACACAGGUGGUCAGGUAGAGAAUACCAAGGCGCUUGAGAGAACUCGGGUGAAGGAACUAGGCAAAAUGGUGCCGUAACUUCGGGAGAAGGCACGCUGGUGUGUAGGUGAAGUCCCUGCGGAUGGAGCUGAGACCAGUCGAAGAUACCAGCUGGCUGCAACUGUUUAUUAAAAACACAGCACUGUGCAAACACGAAAGUGGACGUAUACGGUGUGACGCCUGCCCGGUGCCGGAAGGUUAAUUGAUGGGGUUAUCCGUAAGGAGAAGCUCUUGAUCGAAGCCCCGGUAAACGGCGGCCGUAACUAUAACGGUCCUAAGGUAGCGAAAUUCCUUGUCGGGUAAGUUCCGACCUGCACGAAUGGCGUAAUGAUGGCCAGGCUGUCUCCACCCGAGACUCAGUGAAAUUGAACUCGCUGUGAAGAUGCAGUGUACCCGCGGCAAGACGGAAAGACCCCGUGAACCUUUACUAUAGCUUGACACUGAACAUUGAGCCUUGAUGUGUAGGAUAGGUGGGAGGCUUUGAAGCGUGGACGCCAGUCUGCGUGGAGCCGACCUUGAAAUACCACCCUUUAAUGUUUGAUGUUCUAACGUUGGCCCCUUACCGGGGUUGCGGACAGUGUCUGGUGGGUAGUUUGACUGGGGCGGUCUCCUCCCAAAGCGUAACGGAGGAGCACGAAGGUUAGCUAAUCCUGGUCGGACAUCAGGAGGUUAGUGCAAUGGCAUAAGCUAGCUUGACUGCGAGCGUGACGGCGCGAGCAGGUGCGAAAGCAGGUCAUAGUGAUCCGGUGGUUCUGAAUGGAAGGGCCAUCGCUCAACGGAUAAAAGGUACUCCGGGGAUAACAGGCUGAUACCGCCCAAGAGUUCAUAUCGACGGCGGUGUUUGGCACCUCGAUGUCGGCUCAUCACAUCCUGGGGCUGAAGUAGGUCCCAAGGGUAUGGCUGUUCGCCAUUUAAAGUGGUACGCGAGCUGGGUUUAGAACGUCGUGAGACAGUUCGGUCCCUAUCUGCCGUGGGCGCUGGAGAAUUGAGGGGGGCUGCUCCUAGUACGAGAGGACCGGAGUGGACGCAUCACUGGUGUUCGGGUUGUCAUGCCAAUGGCACUGCCCGGUAGCUAAAUGCGGAAGAGAUAAGUGCUGAAAGCAUCUAAGCACGAAACUUGCCCCGAGAUGAGUUCUCCCUGAGACUUUAAGUCUCCUGAAGGAACGUUGAAGACGACGACGUUGAUAGGCCGGGUGUGUAAGCGCAGCGAUGCGUUGAGCUAACCGGUACUAAUGAACCGUGAGGCUUAACCUU